AGGUAUUAGAGGCACUGCCUGCCCAGUGACAAAAGUUCAACGGCCCGCGGUAUCCUGACCGUGCAAAGGUAGCAUAAUCACUUGUUCCUUAAUUGGGGACUGGAAUGAAUGGCCUCACGAGGAUUCAACUGUCUCUUACUUCCAAUCAGUGAAAUUGACCUCCCCGUGAAGAGGCGGGGAUAACAUAAUAAGACGAGAAGACCCUAUGGAGCUUUAAUUUCCUGGCUUAACUGCCCAAUUAGUACCCUAAUGGACCAAAAAGAAAAGAAAUAAGCCAGUAAUUUCGGUUGGGGUGACCUCGGAGAAUAAAACAACCUCCGAACGAUUUUAGCCAAGACCUACAAGUCUAAGUACUAAUAAUCUAAUUGACCCAAUUCAUUGAUCAACGGACCAAGUUACCUUAGGGAUAACAGCGUAAA
rnacentral:rRNA from 1 species